rnacentral:rRNA from 1 species
UACGAAGGGGGCUAGCGUUGUUCGGAAUCACUUGGCGUAAAGGGCGCGUAGGCGGCUUUAUAAGUCGGGGGUGAAAGCCUGUGGCUCAACCACAGAAUUGCCUUCGAUACUGUAGAGCUUGAGACCGGAAGAGGUAAGUGGAACUGCGAGUGUAGAGGUGAAAUUCGUAGAUAUUCGCAAGAACACCAGUGGCGAAGGCGGCUUACUGGUCCGGUUCUGACGCUGAGGCGCGAAAGCGUGGGGAGCAAACAGG